rnacentral:rRNA from 1 species
UGGGGAAUUUUGGACAAUGGGGGAAACCCUGAUCCAGCCAUCCCGCGUGUGCGAUGAAGGCCUUCGGGUUGUAAAGCACUUUUGGCAGGAAAGAAACGUCGCGGGUUAAUACCCCGCGAAACUGACGGUACCUGCAGAAUAAGCACCGGCUAACUACGUGCCAGCAGCCGCGGUAAUACGUAGGGUGCAAGCGUUAAUCGGAAUUACUGGGCGUAAAGCGUGCGCAGGCGGUUCGGAAAGAAAGAUGUGAAAUCCCAGAGCUUAACUUUGGAACUGCAUUUUUAACUACCGGGCUAGAGUGUGUCAGAGGGAGGUGGAAUUCCGCGUGUAGCAGUGAAAUGCGUAGAUAUGCGGAGGAACACCGAUGGCGAAGGCAGCCUCCUGGGAUAACACUGACGCUCAUGCACGAAAGCGUGGGGAGCAAACAGGAUUAGAUACCCUGGUAGUCCACGCCCUAAACGAUGUCAACUAGCUGUUGGGGCCUUCGGGCCUUGGUAGCGCAGCUAACGCGUGAAGUUGACCGCCUGGGGAGUACGGUCGCAAGAUUAAAACUUAAAUGAAUUGACGGGGUCAUAGCUGUUUCCU